rnacentral:rRNA from 1 species
GACGACGACGUUGAUAGGUCGGGUGUGUAAGCGCAGCGAUGCGUUGAGCUAACCGAUACUAAUGAACCGUGAGGCUUAACCUUACAACGCCGAAGC